GCCCAGCACUGAAUCCUGACGUGUCAACGCACGGUGGAAAUGUAGUGUGUGGGAGGAUCUAUACAAGCCGGCGGGGACCUCGUUUAAGUCCGUCUUGAAAGCGGCCACAGCCCACAGAGGGUGCCAGGCCCGUAUGACGAGUGUGGAUCCCGCCGGCAUGGGUCUCUCCCCGGAGUCGAGUUGCUUGAGAGUGCAGCUCAAAGCGGGAGGUAAACUCCUUCUAAGGCUAAAUACGACCACAAGACCGAUAGCGAACAAGUACCGUGAGGGAAAGUUGAAAAGCACUUUGAAGAGAGAGUUCAAGAGUACGUGAAACCGUUCAGGGGUAAACGAAUGAUAUCUGGAAAAGCGAAGCGAGAGAUUCAAACCGUACGCCGCGCGUUCGAGCGGUGGCCUCCGAUCACCCGAGUUCCCCCGCGCGUUGCAGCAAUGUGCGCCGGUGUGGAUACACGGCGUGCACGGGCGGUCGUCACCGGCGCCGGCAUCGGUCUGCACUUUUCUCGUGGUAGUACGCCGCGACUCGUUGGGUGCGCGUCUAAGGCCCACGCGGGAGCCGGCACUAGUUGCGCGCUUUUAGCGUGCACACGGGGCCGACCGCGAGGUGACCCGGCGAGCUUGCCCGACGGUGUAUAAGCGAUACGUAAAGAGUCGGGUGCUACGCACUCGGUGGCUUUCAUUAGCACGUUCUCGCGUCAGCGGUGCUCCAUUCAGAGCCCAUUCGACCCGUCUUGAAACACGGACCAAGGAGUCUAACAUGUACGCGAGUCAUUGGGAACCACUAAACCUAAAGGCGAAAUGAAAGUAAAUGCCGGCCGCCUCGGCGGUCGGCAGAGGAGUGAUGCCGCGCCUUUGAAUUGAAUUUCUUUACACAAGCCGGCCGCAACUCCGGGGCGUCUCGUUGUCAUCGCGACACAGCAGGCGCACCUGAAGCGUACACGUUGGGACCCGAAAGAUGGUGAACUAUGCCUGGCCAGGUCGAAGUCAGGGGAAACCCUGAUGGAGGACCGUAGCGAUUCUGACGUGCAAAUCGAU
rnacentral:rRNA from 1 species